UGGUGGAGUGAUUUGUCUGGUUGAUUCCGAUAACGAACGAGACCCGCGCACUUAAAUAGUGGGGCUAUUUUCACGAAUGGCCUGCACUUCUUAUGUGGACAACUCUUGCUUAAAGAGGGGAAGCGGCGGGCAAUAACA
rnacentral:rRNA from 1 species